UACGAGGGGGGCGAGCGUUGUUCGGAAUUAUUGGGCGUAAAGGGCGCGUAGGCGGCCUGUUGCGUCCGCUGUGAAAGCCCGGGGCUUAACCCCGGGUCGGCAGUGGAUACGGGCAGGCUAGAGGUAGGUAGGGGAGAAUGGAAUUCCCGGUGUAGCGGUGAAAUGCGCAGAUAUCGGGAGGAACACCGGUGGCGAAGGCGGUUCUCUGGGCCUUACCUGACGCUGAGGAGCGAAAGCGUGGGGAGCGAACAGG
rnacentral:rRNA from 1 species